GCUGUGUAUUCUUUCCCAAAUAUUUCCAUCGGAUUCUUCCUGAGUCUCCUGCGCACUUGGUGCAAAUGUCUCUUCAUCACCAUUAUUCGCUUCGGCUGUUGUGAAUGUGACAGGAUCCAAACUUGAGGUGAAAAUGGAUUCUCCGACACGAGCGCGUGUCAUUGGGAGAAAAACGAGCUCCGUGGAGCCACUGGCGAUGAGCGCCUGUGGCUCAAAGGCUCUCAUCACGCAGUCUGCGGGGCAGAUGAUGCUCUUCAACAGAAAACCCUCCAUGUCUCAGCCCAAUACGGCAAACUGCAAGAGAAGACGCUGAUCACAGUCUGUGGGGCAGUUGGGACACUUUACUAAGGAAGUGCACACCCUUGAGGCUAAUGCUGUUCAUGCCAUAACUGUAUUCAUUACGAGUAAGAUGCAACAAUGAAGUAUGUUCCGGAGUUCUUCUAUAAUUGUGAGUACUAACACAAGCAAAACAUCCCCUCUCCUUCCAGCUCAGGGCCACACAGCUGCCUUCCUGCCCAGCUAUGGCUCCCCCUAGCCGUGCCUCCAUAUUUCCUUGUUAGUGCACACCAUAAUGCCCUGACCCUCCCUGCUCUGAAACACUGUCAAGACACCAAAAUACACCUGAAAACCUCAAUUUCUAUGUCUAAAUGUGGAGUACACAGCCUCCAUCUGCCUCCAAGCCAACACUGGGCACCAUAGGACACAGCAGAGAAGAGGAUUUCUUACCUUUUUAGAGUGGCUCUGCCUAGUCCUCCCUCACCAACGUCCCAACCUCGACAGCCUCCUUCUUCUUCCCAGCAAUCCCUGCAAAAAAGGACACUUCCAUGUAUGUUGACUAUGUAGGGGUGAUCAAAUUGGACUAACCCAUUUCCAAAGGGCCCAAAGAGUCCCUGAAACCCAGAAAUGGCCCAUUUGGCCCCCAAUAUGCAUGAACUCCAUAUUUCAAUUUUAAAAUUGCACAUCAGUGGCCUUAAAUGGCAAAGCCCACUCCUCAUAUACACAUUGCCCUACCCCUAUGGUUUCGACUUAUUUUGGUCCAUCCAAUAGUCAUACAGUUGAUACUGAAAAGCAGUUGUCAGUAAGUGCGCUCUGGAGCUCUCAGGCGCUUUCUGGUGCCGUUGGUGCGUUUGUCAAGCCCUGGAGCAUCUUUAGCUGGGUACCAAUAGUUCAUUGGUGGUAUUUUGGGUCAAAGAGACCCUUUUCUUGUGGACUGGACUAGAGAAACUCGAGGAAAAAUAGUUUAAUGUGCGCAGAAUCCAACCGCGCAAAAAUAACACUAAGGAUCCAAAUGGACCUCUCCAAAAGUGCACAGGUGUAUCCAAAGGCACAGAGAGCUCUCCAAAGGCUCCAGGAUAAAAAAGAGAAGUUUAUCCAGCUUAAAAGGUAACUAUAAAUAAUAAUUCUGUUUAAAUAGUACCAACUGUACUAAAAAAAAUUAAAGCUACAAUCAAAGAAAGUGGAAUUUUCAGUCUAUUUGAAAGCAAAGCGCAUCAAGAAAAAUGCACCAAGUGGCGCAAUUGGCACUGCAGACAUUUAAGUUAUUUAUGUCACGUUUUUAAACAUAUUAUAUACGUAAAUAUAUGCGCUAAUACGGACAGCAUUGUAACACAGCUCACAAAUUAAAAUAACCACCUGUCUGACCAGCAGUCGCAAUGAAGCAGCAAAAAAUCUGAGCCUUACGCACCAGUCCAGUGCGCCAAAGUAGUCCUGCGACGAGCCACAGUCUGCUCUUUUUAUCCGGGCUUGAAAGAAUUCAGUCCUCUUUCACACAAAAAUCAUUAAAAGAAAUGCCCUGUAGACAAAUCCACUGCAUUCUUAGAUGGCUGGAUUACAACGCCGUCGGUUGAAGCUGUUUUCCCCAAAAUAAACCGCAUGCAAAUUAUGUUCGCAGCUGCCGGCAGAGCGUUAAAGGACAAUCCUGUUCCCUGCGAUGCCUGUCUGAUGUCUGUGCUGUUUACACCGUAUAUGCAUCAGCACACAGUCUGACAGGCUGGGCGUUCGCCUCCCUGCGUGUACAGACCUGAGUCUUCUGCAGGUUUAAGACCCCGCAUCCCCUCUCUGAGACACCACGCCUCAGGCGACAGCAGCACAAGGGCAGCCCUGUCCUCCCUGCGCUGGAAACUGGAUAAAAAAUAGAAGUAAAAAGACGUCUGUGCGUUAGAAAUGACAAAGCCUUCGUUAUCGGCUGCCCACACUAACGCUCAGACCUCAGUGCUGGAAGAAACAGGCGCAUGUGUCGCCUCUAUUCAGCACCAAAGCACAGCCGGAGCUCCGGCCGGACGCACGCCUGGCCUCAUUGUGCAUUUGCCGCAGCAGCUGUCAAACAGAUCAUAUUUCACACUGAAGUCACAGUGGGAUGAAUGCUCUCUGUCCUAUAUGAUGCUGGAAUACCCGCACUUGUGCAAGAUCAGCUGUGCGUCGGCGGCGGUCAAAGCGCGUAAUAUUUCGGCUCCAGGGUGACAAACUGCCGCUGUUGCAACAUGUAUUUUUUUUUAGCUGGAGGGGCAGGAGGAGCGCCCUGUUGACGCUUUGAAAGCCACAAUCAUGAUGUCUGGAGGCAGUGACGAGAUACUGAUUAAGAGGCACGGGACUGUGGGUACAAACCAACCCAAAUAUAUCCAAGACUCUCUGUCAGUGUCAUCAAUAUUUAUUAUGGGAUCAUCCAUUUCUCUUAUUCCGCAAAACCGAUGCUUUAGUGAAUCACUUGCGCCCUGUACUGCCUGAUGCGACACCAGAGAAACCUUCAUGAUACAUGAUUAAUGCAUUCAAUGUGUCGGUAUUUAAAAUAAAUAAAAAGAAAGAAAUGCAAAUCUUGUUUAUCUUUU